AUUGAACGCUGGCGGCAUGCCUUACACAUGCAAGUCGAACGGCAGCACGGGUGCUUGCACCUGGUGGCGAGUGGCGAACGGGUGAGUAAUACAUCGGAACAUGUCCUGUAGUGGGGGAUAGCCCGGCGAAAGCCGGAUUAAUACCGCAUACGAUCUACGGAUGAAAGCGGGGGGCCUUCGGGCCUCGCGCUAUAGGGUUGGCCGAUGGCUGAUUAGCUAGUUGGUGGGGUAAAGGCCUACCAAGGCGACGAUCAGUAGCUGGACUGAGAGGACGACCAGCCACACUGGGACUGAGACACGGCCCAGACUCCUACGGGAGGCAGCAGUGGGGAAUUUUGGACAAUGGGCGAAAGCCUGAUCCAGCAAUGCCGCGUGUGUGAAGAAGGCCUUCGGGUUGUAAAGCACUUUUGUCCGGAAAGAAAUCCUUGGCCCUAAUACGGUCGGGGGAUGACGGUACCGGAAGAAUAAGCACCGGCUAACUACGUG
rnacentral:rRNA from 1 species